rnacentral:rRNA from 1 species
GAACCUUACCAGGUCUUGACAUCCUCUGAAAACCCUAGAGAUAGGGCUUCUCCUUCGGGAGCAGAGUGACAGGUGGUGCAUGGUUGUCGUCAGCUCGUGUCGUGAGAUGUUGGGUUAAGUCCCGCAACGAGCGCAACCCUUGAUCUUAGUUGCCAUCAUUAAGUUGGGCACUCUAAGGUGACUGCCGGUGACAAACCGGAGGAAGGUGGGGAUGACGUCAAAUCAUCAUGCCCCUUAUGACCUGGGCUACACACGUGCUACAAUGGACGGUACAAAGAGCUGCAAGACCGCGAGGUGGAGCUAAUCUCAUAAAACCGUUCUCAGUUCGGAUUGUAGGCUGCAACUCGCCUACAUGAAGCUGGAAUCGCUAGUAAUCGCGGAUCAGCAUGCCGCGGUGAAUACGUUCCCGGGCCUUGUACACACCGCCCGUCACACCACGAGAGUUUGUAACACCCGAAGUCGGUGGGGUAACCUUUUUGGAGCCAGCCGCCUAAGGUGGGACAGAUGAUUGGGGUGAAGUCGUAACAAGGUAGCCGUAUCGGAAGGUGCGGCUGGAUCACCUCCUUUCUAUGGA